ACACUUUACGAAGUACACUGCAAUACAGUGCACUACAAUUCAGUGCACUGUAUUGCAGUGCACUGCGUCGCUGAUAAGUGCUGUCUCAAAUGGAACACUUACGUUAACCACUUGGCGGAAGUGACGGACGCAAAUCUGUUCACGGCACCCGUGAAAUUAAACCGGGAGUGACGUACGCAAAUCUACUUGCGAUACCCCUUAACCCUUGUGUUGCCUUCGGGUCAAUUUGACCCGAUUCAAUGUUUCACCCUCCUGUCACCUUUAUAUUUACUAACAUAUUUUACCCUUGAGGUCAAUAUGACCCCAGCUAUUAAAAUCUCCAGAAAAUUAUUAGAAUUAAUAUUGUUUUCCAAGUUUAAGUGUGAGGUACUUUAUGUUUGUUUGUUGACUCCCGAAAGAACACCGACAUUAAACAUUGAAUCGGGUCAAAUUGACCCGAAGGCGACAGGAGGGUUACAUAUUGAAUCGGGUCAAAAUGACCCGAAGGCAACACAAGCGUUAAAGUGACCAAAUGAAUGCACUUCUUGCCCUCUUGUUGUCCCUUGUUUACCUUUCUCCACCCCAUGUGGAAAAAGAUACCUCCACAAUCGCGGCAGGAGCCUCCGCCUUCUGGCUGAAGUCGAGAUGCAGCCACCCAGUCCCAGGCGGCGCUGCCGUAUCAAUGCUGCAAUGCCACUGCUGGCGUUGUAUUGUGAUGGCCACAGUGACAUGAGGGUGGACUUCAGGCUCACCCGAGAGUCAUUCAACGCCCUCAUGGCUGUGCUGGGCACUGACUGACCACGGUUGGGGCCCCGAGAUCUCCUGUCUAGUUUUUAUUUUUUGGCUUGCCAGCGCCA